GACGAACGCUGGCGGCGUGCUUAACACAUGCAAGUCGAACGAUGAACUUGGAGCUUGCUCUGGGGGAUUAGUGGCGAACGGGUGAGUAACACGUGAGUAACCUGCCCUGGACUCUGGGAUAACUUCGAGAAAUCGGAGCUAAUACCGGAUAGGACCUUGCACCGCAUGGUGUGGGGUGGAAAGUUUUUCGGUUUGGGAUGGACUCGCGGCCUAUCGGCUUGUUGGUGGGGUAAUGGCUAACCAAGGCGUCGACGGGUAGCCGGCCUGAGAGGGUGGCCGGCCACAAGGGGACUGAGACACGGCCCAGAGUCCUACGGGAGGCAGCAGUGGGGAAUAUUGCACAAUGGGCGCAAGCCUGAUGCAGCAACGCCGCGUGCGGGAUGACGGCCUUCGGGUUGUAAACCGCUUUUAGUAGGGAAGAAGCCUUCGGGUGACGGUACCUGCAGAAAAAGGACCGGCUAACUACGUGCCAGCCGCCGCGGUAAGAC
rnacentral:rRNA from 1 species